rnacentral:lncRNA from 1 species
AUGGCGGGGCUCGGGAGUGGGAGUUUCGGACUCUGUGCUAAUGUAAACCAAAAUAAAUCCUACGUGCACUUGAAGUUGACUGAUUCGGCUUUCAGAGCUUUUGAGGAUUACACAAGGAUUAAGAACACUGUCGGGAGCCCAAAGAUAUCUUUCCGAGGAAAUGAAGGGGUACGUAAAGAGGGGUUUUGGCAUAAUUCUGUGCGUAAGUAUAUAAGCAAACCUUUAAGUAAUGAAGUGAAGUGCGUGACAUAUUUGAUGAGUUUGUGCAGCCUUCACAAUAUCGGGCUGUGCUUUUGCCAGGCUUACUUGGGUGAGACUGCAGGCGGCCACGUUGGGUGGCUUGUGCCCUGCGUGUGCGUGGAAGAUGGCUAUGUGUCUGUAUAUCUGCGUGCGUUGGAGUGUGUGCGGUCUUACAUUUUAAACGUUACACAGAGUGUCAUAACGUGGCGCUCACUUGGGAGGGAGGUCGAAGCCCUCUGCAUGAAGUUUUCCAAGUCCAAGGGCGUCGGCCUUUGAGCCAUGGUGGAGUAGGGGGUCGUCCCUGGGACCUAUUCCCGAGGAAGGAGCUCGAGAUCCCUAGAAACGCAGGAUAGGUAAGCCUGUUGCUGGAUUUUCUUAUAUCGGGCUGCCAUGAGGACAUCUUCCUACCCCCUUACCCAUCCCCCUUCCCCAACCCCCUUCCUUUUCCUCUUAGCCAGUACCUCCUCCUUCCCCCCUCUUACCCCCCGUCGGAGAGAACGUCUUUUGGCAAAGGCACAAACAGGACAAGGCAGUGGGAAGGGGGAGAGAGGAAGGGGAGGGAGGAAGGGGAGGGAAGAGGCAACGGCAGCGGCAGCGGUAGUGGGAUUCGGGCCAGCGGUAACGGUACCGGCUAGCCGACCGACCGACUGACAAACCGACCGUCAUCCAUCCGUUCAUCCAACCAAUCAGCUAGUCAGUCAGUCGGCAAGUCAACUUGUCC